GGGAAUGUAACUCAGUUAUAGAGUGCUUGCCUAGCAUACCUGAGGUCCUGGGUUCUAUCCCCAGCAUAUCUC
rnacentral:tRNA from 1 species